rnacentral:lncRNA from 1 species
GUGUUAAUUAUUAAAGUCAAACCUGAACCCACACAGUCAGCCAACUAGUGUGCUUUGCACUGUGCUGUGAACAGCGGCCUAAGUCUGAAGUCUCAGGAAACGGUCCCUCGGAGCUGGGGCCGGGACCCGCGAGCAGGCACUGCGAGGCCCCACGCCUGCCCUGAGGACCGUCCAUAGCAUCCACUCACCCACCUUAGAUCAGAGUCGAAAGGACAUUUUUAAGAUGCUCCAAAGCUGAGACUCUUAGGAAUAGCAUUGUAACAUGCAGUUUUUACUGCCAUGGCUAAACGUGCGUUCUGUUAUCUGUAAAGCAAUAUUCAUCAGAUUAUUAAUUUGAUAUGUGAAAAAU